CCUGAUCCAGCCAUGCCGCGUGAGUGAAGAAGGCCUUCGGGUUGUAAAGCUCUUUCAGCCGGAACGAAACGGUCACGGCUAAUACCUGUGAUCACUGACGGUACCGGAAGAAGAAGCACCGGCUAACUACGUGCCAGCAGCCGCGGUAAUA
rnacentral:rRNA from 1 species